CGUGUAGGCGGUUAAGCAAGUCAGGUGUGAAAUCCCUUGGCUCAACCAAGGAAGCGCGCUUGAAACUGUUUGACUAGAGUACAGGAGGGGAAAGUGGAAUUCCCAGUGUAGAGGUGAAAUUCAUAGAUAUUGGGAGGAACACCGGUAGCGAAGGCGGCUUUCUGGCCUGAUACUGACGCUGAGACGCGAAAGCGUGGGGAGCAAACA
rnacentral:rRNA from 1 species